rnacentral:rRNA from 1 species
GGUGAAAAGCACCCCGGAAGGGGAGUGAAAUAGAACCUGAAACCGUGUGCUUACAAGUAGUCAGAGCCCGUUAAUGGGUGAUGGCGUGCCUUUUGUAGAAUGAACCGGCGAGUUACGAUUUGAUGCAAGGUUAAGCAGUAAAUGUGGAGCCGUAGCGAAAGCGAGUCUGAAUAGGGCGUUUAGUAUUUGGUCGUAGACCCGAAACCAGGUGAUCUACCCUUGGUCAGGUUGAAGUUCAGGUAACACUGAAUGGAGGACCGAACCGACUUACGUUGAAAAGUGAGCGGAUGAACUGAGGGUAGCGGAGAAAUUCCAAUCGAACCUGGAGAUAGCUGGUUCUCUCCGAAAUAGCUUUAGGGCUAGCCUCAAGUGAUGAUUAUUGGAGGUAGAGCACUGUUUGGACGAGGGGCCCCUCUCGGGUUACCGAAUUCAGACAAACUCCGAAUGCCAAUUAAUUUAACUUGGGAGUCAGAACAUGGGUGAUAAGGUCCGUGU